ACUACGUGCGGCAGCAGUAGGGAAUCUUCCACAAUGGACGAAAGUCUGAUGGAGCAACGCCGCGUGAGUGAAGAAGGGUUUCGGCUCGUAAAGCUCUGUUGGUAGUGAAGAAAGAUAGAGGUAGUAACUGGCCUUUAUUUGACGGUAAUUACUUAGAAAGUCACGGCUAACUACGUGCCAGCAGCCGCGGUAAUACGUAGGUGUCAAGCGUUGUACGGAUUUAUUGGGCGGAAAGCGAGUGCAGGCGGUUCAAUAAGUCUGAUGUGAAAGCCUUCGGCUCAACCGGGGAAUUGAAGCAGAAACUGGUGAACUGGAGUGCAGAAGAGGAGAGUGGAACGCCAGGUGUAGCGGUGGAAUGCGUAGAUAUAUGGAAGAACACCAGUGGCGAAGGCGGCUCUCUGGUCUGCAACGGACGCUGAGGCUCGAAGGCAUGGGUAGCGAACAGGAUUAGAUACCCGGGUAGUC
rnacentral:rRNA from 1 species